CCUACGGGAGGCAGCAGUGGGGAAUAUUGCGCAAUGAGCGAAAGCCUGACGCAGCGACGCCGCGUGAGGGAUGAAGGUCUUCGGAUCGUAAACCUCUGUCAGCAGGGAAGAACGGUCACUGUGCUAAUCAGUAGUGAAUUGACGGUACCUGCAAAGGAAGCAACGGCUAACUCAGUGCCAGCAGCCGCGGUAAUACGGAGGGUGCGAGCGUUAACCGGAAUUAAUGGGCGUAAAGCGGUCGUAGGCGGUAUGUCAAGUCAAGGGUGAAAUCCCCGGGCUCAACGUGGGAACCGCCUUUGAAACUGGCAAACUGGAGUGUGUUAGAGGAUAGUGGAAUUCCAGGUGUAGGAGUGAAAUCCGUAGAUAUCUGGAGGAACAUCAGUGGCGAAGGCGACUAUCUGGCACAUAACUGACGCUGAGGGGCGAAAGCGUGGGUAGCAAACAGGAUUAGAUACCCCUGUAGUC
rnacentral:rRNA from 1 species